rnacentral:tRNA from 1 species
ACACUCGUGGCCUACUGGUUAGGGCUUUAGGCUUGUAACCGGAAGAUUGCCGGUUCGAUCCCCGACCAGUAGG